GGAUAUUUUUUCUUUUGAAUGCAUUUCACAGUUUGCCUUUACCUUGGAACCUAACUUUUUGUUGUAUAGGACAGCAAAGAGACUUCAUAAAGACUUUAUGGGAUCUGAAUCACCUUCUCAUGUAGAUUCCUGUGUGGAUUGAAUGAAGUCCAGGCUGUGUGACCUGGGAGGGCCAGAGUCGGAUAUGUUGUACUAUUCCAGUGCUUAAAGUCAAAUUGGACAGAAUGUCAUGUCAAGCCACUUGAAAACAACGAAGGACGUGACAUCAUCUCGUCUCAUUUGUGGCAUAAUCCACCCCAGGCCACCGCCAUCCCAAGGCACACACACUGAUUCUGUCUGGUACCGCGUGGGGUCCUAAGGAGGAACAAUGCCUACCUGUCACGCAGGGCCGUGAGCCCCCUUCCUAGAUGGGAGGGGGCAGGGGGUGGCCUGAGGGAAGCCAGUGAGAGGACACACAGUGAACCGGUCCUUGGAAGAUGAGACUUCGGGCAGGGAAAGGGGAAAGGGUGUCAGGCAGAGGAACGGGCAGGCCCAAGACCAUGGAGUGGUUCUUGAGAAUCAGUGAAUGCGUGUUGGUGUAAAUGUGUGCACGUGUGAUCUCAUGAGCAGCAGCAGCAGCUGUGUUCUGGAAGAAGCUGCCAUCUGAGGGGCGUAGUCUUCAUUCUGCAGGCAAGAAAAGUACCGCGGCUGGAAAGGGAAUGCCUGACUUGGUUUUGAGCCAUCUCUCCAGCAGGACCGAGGGAACACGGCAGGGAGACUGGCUAGGAGGCUGAUUUUGUAAUGCUGCAGGUGAUAGGUGUCAGACUUGGACAGAAGUGAUCGUACUGGAGAAGAGAAAAGCAAAAUUAACGUGGUGGGGGAAGGGUGAGGGUGGUGCUUAGCCUGGUGUCUGGGUGAAUUGUGAAAGCCACGUCCAAGAGUUAAGAUGGGGACUCGACGCUGGGGUGUUGGAGAAGGAAGACGGCCAGGGCUCGAGAUGUGGGUGUGGGUAAAUUUGCCUUUGGAGACUUUGGAGGUUAAAAAAAAAAAGAUUCUAUGUGCUCAGCAUCAUUCAUCAUUAGGGAAAUGCAAGCCAAACUACAGUGAGCUAUUACCUCACACCUGUCAGAAUGGCUAAAAUAAAAAAAUAUGGGGGCGCCUGGGUGGCUCAGUCGGUUAAGCGUCCAACUACAACUCAGGUCACGAUCUCGAGGUUGGUGGGUUCGAGCCCUGUGUUGGGCUCUGUGCUGACAGCUCAGAGCCCGGAGCCUGCUCCAGAUUCUGUGUUUCCCUCUCUCUCUGCCCCUUCUCUGCUCUCUCGCUCUCUCUCUCUCAA